AAGCAUCAAGAUUAAUAUCCAAUUAAUGUAACUAAAUCCAAAUUAACAAAGCCAGGCCUCUUUAAGCAGAAUCGAUUGGGCUUUGCACCAGGAGGUCCAACAGCCUUAGGUCCAAGGCCUGGAGGUGUGGAUAGUGAAAUGCAUUGCAGCAUUGCUUGGUCCAUAACCAAUCCACUAUACUGUAUCUAUUGAAAGCAAGUAACAAAAAUGAAAAAGAAACAGAAAAGCGCUUAUUCAAACGCGCUUAUUCACAAGC
rnacentral:lncRNA from 1 species